GAUGAACGCUGACAGAAUGCUUAACACAUGCAAGUCAACUUGAACUUCGGUUUGGGUGGCGGACGGGUGAGUAACGCGUAAAGAACUUUCCUCACAGAUAGGGACAACAUUUGGAAACGAAUGCUAAUACCUGAUAUUAUGAUUAUAUGGCAUCGUAUAAUUAUGAAAGCUAUAUGCGCUGUGAGAGAGCUUUGCGUCCCAUUAGCUAGUUGGAGAGGUAUCGGCUCACCAAGGCGAUGAUGGCUAGCCGGCCUGAGAGGGUGAUCGGCCACAAGGGGAAUGAGACACGGCCCUUGCUCCUACGGGAGGCAGCAGUGGGAAAUUGUGGAUGAUAGACCAAGAAUCUGAUACAAAGAUUCUGUGUGCACGAUGAAGUUUUUCGGAAUGUAAAGUGCUUUCAGUUGGGAAGAAAAAAAUGACGGUACCAAGAGCAGAAGAGACGGCUAAAUACGUG
rnacentral:rRNA from 1 species